GAUGAAGAACGCAGCGAAAUGCGAUACUUGGUGUGAAUUGCAGAAUCCCGUGAACCGUCGAGUCUUUGAACGCAAGUUGCGCCCGAAGCCAUUAGGCCGAGGGCACGCCUGCCUGGGUGUCACACGUCGUUGCCCCCCCAUCUACUCCUUCGGGAUUGCGGGGGGCGGAUGAUGGCCUCCCGUGCGCCUCGUCGCGCGGUUGGCAUAAAUGCCAAGUCCUCGGCGACGCACGCCACGACAAUCGGUGGUUGCGAAACCUCGGUUGCCCGUCGUGUGCGGUCGUCGCGCAUCGAGGGCUCGAAAAAAUUGCCGGGCUCCGGCUCGGCUUUCAACGCGACCCCAGGUCAGGCGGGGUUACCCGCUGAAUUUAAGCAUAUCAAUAAGCGGAGGA
rnacentral:misc_RNA from 1 species